rnacentral:tRNA from 1 species
AGCAGUGUGGCCUAGAGGAUAGAGCACAGGUUUGGAAGUUAGAAGGACCUGGGUUCCAAUCCCAGCUCUGCCA